UACGUAGGGACCAAGCGUUGUCCGGAAUCAUUGGGCGUAAAGAGCGUGUAGGCGGCUUGUUAAGUCUUGCGUGAAAAUCUCGGGGCUCAACCCCGAGCGGUCGUGAGAAACUGGCAGGCUAGAAGUGCGGGAGAGGAGAGUGGAAUUCCGUGGUGUAGCGGUGAAAUGCGCAGAUAAUCAGGAAGAACACCCGUGGCGAAGGCGGCUCUCUGGAACGCAACUGACGCUGAGACGCGAAAGCGUGGGGAGCAAACAGG
rnacentral:rRNA from 1 species